rnacentral:ncRNA from 1 species
ACCAGAUAUAGGCGUCACGGUCUGCCAUAUCCCUAGAUUUGGUGGCUAAGAGGGAAGCCGGUGAACUACGGGUUGAUCCGUAAAAACCCGGCGCUGCCCCCGCAACUGUAAGCAGUGAGUUGUUCCCGAUAGCUAAGUCACUGAUGCCGCAAGGCAUUGGGAAGACGAGGGAGCAAUGACGACCUGCGAGCCAGGAGACCUGCCGCGACACCGAAAUUACG